ensembl:lncRNA
AGCCAGUCAUCUUUACUCCCCUUCCACCUCAUUACAGGCUCAUAAAUAUGCACCACAGCUCAGAAGCAUAAUUAAGACCCAUGAGUCCUGGGAUGAGCAUGCGCACUAACAGCCCCUGAGAGGGCUCAGCACCCUGUCAGUCAGUCACACCUAGAGAGUCAGGGAGAGGCACCUAGAGCAGAGGCGUCUGGCUUUAAAUUCUGAGAGCCUGAGUUAUCGGCUGCUUUUUCGUGUGUGGCUCUUGCGACCUUCGACCUGUGUGCCGUGCUUUUCUGUUGCCUGGCACCUUUCCCGGUCAGUGUUGUACCUUUGUUGGGAUGAACUGGCCCUAAGCACAACUUCCGGUGAUCCUCAGCAAAAGUGGCUGCUUACUACUUACUGCUGGGUGUAUGCUUGACAGUUCUUUCCUCAUCAUACCCAAGAACCUGGAUUAUUAUUGGAUCAUUCAACUGCAACCCUUACUGAAUUAAUGGAUGUCACUUACUUGUGAGCUAAGAGCCCUGCAGUCCAGGGCAAGAUGAGCACAGAUGAUGCAAUGGGGACUCGGCCGAGGCAGCAGGUAAUCAGGAGCCGCCCGGUGGCCUCACUGUCCACCACUGGGCGAGGACGAGCGCAGGUCAAGGAGACCGGGAGGCCAGGCGGUGUCCUGGAGCAGGGUCCCCGGGGAGUUGAGAGUCCAGCACGAAGGGCAGAGAGGCCACUCCAGGUGAGAGGAGCCCCCAAAACUCAAGAGCUGGCCUGGCCCGAACCCUGGUGGGAGAACCCUACUGACUGCUUUCCCCCAGACCAAAACGCACAGACAGGAGGCCUCCCUCAGCUCCAGCCAGGUCCCUGGAAUGUGCUCCAUGGCUCCCAGUCUGACCACAGUCUCACGAGAGUGAGCUGCGUCCUGUCCACAGUGGCCUAGAACCUGGGAAGCACCUGGCACGGACCCUCCACUUCCUACACAUGAUUGCUCGGGACUCCCGGGGGAACAGCAACAGGGCAUUUUUGUGGUCAAGAAAUGUCUGUGGCAGCCAUGGACACCCCCGGACCUCCUUGGACCCUGCUGAGGUGCAGGCUACAUUCCUGAAGAUUCUCAACUGCCAGCUCUGAUCUAUGGCUGCUUCCUGGGAGAUGAUUGGUAUGUGCAGCCAGGAGUGAAGGUACUGGAAGAGCAGAUCCACUCAUAGGCCUCAAGAGGACCUGACAGAAGCCAGCCCAGCCGAGAGCAACAGGAUGCCAGGGUCUGCCAGGGUCUGGGCAGAGGUGGUGUUGCGGCAGGCUGCUGUAAUGUUUCUUCCUCUGCAGACUGUGGAAAGGGUUGCAUCAGGGCAUCACAGUGUGUAAUGGUAACAAGACGGGCUCCGCCUCAAGGAAGUGGAUCACCACACAGCACCACCGCUACAGGGCCACUUACAGAGAGGUGGCAGCUGGGUUUCCCAGGGCUGCCGGCCAGGCAGAGGCACUUCUUUCAAGCCGGGUAGGGUGGGGAGCUCUGACUCAGGGUAGCAGCCAGCUCUGGGCUCCAGACCAUGUCCUUGCUCCUUGGCCUCUGUGUCCAGAUUAGGAAUUUGCAACGCCCUGCUUGCCUCUCAGUGUGCGGCUGAGAACUUCCUAUUCCGUGUACAGGAUGGCCACCUCCCUGGCCAUGGCCGACUUCUAGCAUACUCUCAUCAAACUGCAGGCAGCCUAGACAGGGUAACGCAGGACACAGGCUCACACACGGCGCCAUCUGCCCUUCCAGAAACAUGGACCAUGUGCUCACUUCAACA